rnacentral:rRNA from 1 species
CUCGAGGCCAGAUCUUUCCGGUUGAUCCCGCCGGACCUGACUGCUAUCGGAUUGAUACUAAGCCAUGCGAGUCAUUGUAGCAAUACAAGGCAGACGGCUCAGUAACACGUAGUCAAUCUACCCUAUGGACGGGGAUAACCUCGGGAAACUGAGAAUAAUACCCGAUAGGUCAUUAUGCCUGGAAUGGUUUAUGGUCCAAAUGAUCUAUCGCCAUAGGAUGGGACUGCGGUCUAUCAGCUUGUUGGUGAGGUAAUGGCCCACCAAGGCUAUAACAGAUACGGGCUCUGAGAGGAGGAGCCCGGAGAUGGGUACUGAGACACGGACCCAGGCCCUAUGGGGCGCAGCAGGCGAGAAAACUUUGCAAUGUGCGAAAGCACGACAAGGUUAAUCCGAGUGGUUCCUGCUAAAGGAAUCUUUUGUCAGUCCUAAAAACACUGACGAAUAAGGGGUGGGCAAGUUCUGGUGUCAGCCGCCGCGGUAAAACCAGCACCUCAAGUGGUCAGGAGGAUUAUUGGGCCUAAAGCAUCCGUAGCCGGCCGUGUAAGUUUUCGGUUAAA